UACAGAGGGUGCAAGCGUUAAUCGGAAUUACUGGGCGUAAAGCGUGCGUAGACGGUUAUUUAAGUCAGGUGUGAAAGCCCCGGGCUCAACCUGGGAAUUGCAUUUGAGACUGAAUAGCUAGGGUGCGGAAGAGGGAAGCGGAAUUUCCGGUGUAGCGGUGAAAUGCGUAGAUAUCGGAAGGAACACCAGUGGCGAAAGCGGCUUCCUGGUCCAGCACCGACGUUCAGGCACGAAAGUGUGGGGAGCAAACAGG
rnacentral:rRNA from 1 species